rnacentral:rRNA from 1 species
UACGAAGGGGGCUAGGCGUUGCUCGGAAUCACUGGGCGUAAAGCGCACGUAGGCGGACUCUUAAGUCGGUGGUGAAAUCCUGGAGCUCAACUCCAGAACUGCCUUCGAUACUGGGAGUCUUGAGUCCGGGAGAGGUGAGUGGAACUGCGAGUGUAGAGGUGAAAUUCGUAGAUAUUCGCAAGAACACCAGUGGCGAAGGCGGCUCACUGGCCCGGUACUGACGCUGAGGUGCGAAAGCGUGGGGAGCAAACAGG